AUCCUGACCUCGCCAUGGAAACAGUCUAAGUUGAAAGUCAACGAUGUAGAGUGGUGGGUGUCCUACCAUGUACGGUUUCCAUAAUGAAAGGGAUCUUGAAUAACCCACUGAAGUGAAAUUAAACUGUGUGCCACGAUGCCAAGCCUGGAAUUAUGAUUCCCCAACAAAAUGAGAACAAGCCCUUGAUCCCAUGAAGAAAAUGAAUGUGAAAUCUGCCCCUGCCUAUUUUUGCCCAUUAUUUUCCUAAAUCAACCUUAAAUCCUACUGGAAGAUCAAAAUGCAUAUGAAAACAAGAUUGCUAAAGCCAUCUUGAAAAUGAAACCUCUCAAGAUCUACCAGGCCUGGUCUUCAGAAACAGUGACAAUGAUUGCCAGUUACACUAAGAAGCCACGUUUAUGAACAUGGAAAAUGACAUGUUAAGCCUCCUCAGAAAGGAGAAGUAUCUGUAACAAUCCUGGAAGGGGUGGUAGAGAGACCCAGAGACAUCAGGAUCCAGAUAAAGGAACACUUACAAGGCUAGCAGUCGCUGAUACUGGAAUUCUUCUCUGUCACUUUAAUAUUGGUGGUUGCCACCUUUUAAACAGCACUAUCAAGUCAGCAGGGGUUGCUACUUCUUUUUAAGGAUUCAAACUCUGUUCUUCUCAAAGAAGGCAAAUCACUAUUCCCAUGUCGACUCACGUGAUCACAUGGACUCAACUCUGAUUGAGAUGGACAGAACUUUGAUCUUAAAAAAAAAAAAAAAAAAAAAAAAAAAGCAAAGCUAAGGAAGCGGUGACCAGUCGAUGCUGGUCUUGCCGUGGAGUCCUCUGCCCUCCCACAAACUCAAAAUGGCGUUUCAAGACACUCUUGCUAUAGAACGUCUCCUCGUUGCUGUCCCAGGAGAGACUGUAAGGCCCCUGUUAGGAAGCACCCUUUUGUUGAUGGAGUAGCACCGGAGACAAUACGUGGCUUAACUGCACACUUGAAAGUUUGAAGAAAUAAGCAAAUAAAAAUAAGGGUGGGAAGAGGG